rnacentral:rRNA from 1 species
UACGUAGGGCGCAAGCGUUAUCCGGAAUUAUUGGGCGUAAAGAGCUCGUAGGUGGUUUGUCGCGUUGUUCGUGAAAACCGAAGGCUUAACCUUUGGCGUGCGGGCGAUACGGGCAGACUGGAGUACUGCAGGGGAGACUGGAAUUCCUGGUGUAGCGGUGGAAUGCGCAGAUAUCAGGAGGAACACCGGUGGCGAAGGCGGGUCUCUGGGCAGUAACUGACGCUGAGGAGCGAAAGCGUGGGGAGCGAACAGG